rnacentral:snRNA from 1 species
AUGCUCACUUCAACAGCACAUAUACCAAAAUUAGAAUGAAACAGAAAAGAUUAGCAUGGCCUAUGCACAAGAAUGAUACACUAAUUCGUAAAGCGUUCCAUAUUUUU